CUAAGCAUAUCAAUAAGCGGAGGAAAAGAAACCAACAGGGAUUCCCCUAGUAACGGCGAGUGAAGCGGGAACAGCUCAAAUUUGAAAGCUGGCCUUCUGGUCCGCAUUGUAAUUUGUAGAGGAUGCUUUUGACGCGGUACCUUCUGAGUUCCUUGGAACAGGACGCCUUAGAGGGUGAGAGCCCCGUACAGUUGGAUACCAAGUCUCUGUAUAGCACCUUCGACGAGUCGAGUAGUUUGGGAAUGCUGCUCUAAAUGGGAGGUAAAUUUCUUCUAAAGCUAAAUACCGGCCAGAGACCGAUAGCGCACAAGUAGAGUGAUCGAAAGAUGAAAAGCACUUUGAAAAGAGGGUUAAAUAGCACGUGAAAUUGUUGAAAGGGAAGCGCUUAUGACCAGACUUUUUCCUGGCGGAUCAUCCGGGGUUCUCCCCGGUGCACUUCGCCUGGUUUAGGCCAACAUCGAUUUCCGCCGGGGGAUAAAGGCUUCGGGAAUGUGGCUCUCUCCGGGGAGUGUUAUAGCCCGUUGCGUAAUACCUUGGCGGGGAUCGAGGUUCGCGCUCUGCAAGGAUGUUGGCAUAAUGGUCAUCAGUGACCCGUCUUGAAACACGGACCAAGGAGUCGAACAUUUGUGCGAGUGUUUGGGUGUCAAACCCUCACGCGUAAUGAAAGUGAACGGAGGUGAGAGCCUUAGGGUGCAUCAUCGACCGAUCCUGAUGUCUUCGGAUGGAUUUGAGUAAGAGCAUAACUGUUCGGACCCGAAAGAUGGUGAACUAUGCGUGGAUAGGGUGAAGCCAGAGGAAACUCUGGUGGAGGCUCGCAGCGGUUCUGACGUGCAAAUCGAUCGUCAAAUCUGCGCAUGGGGGCGAAAGACUAAUCGAACCAUCUAGUAGCUGGUUACCGCCG
rnacentral:rRNA from 1 species